rnacentral:lncRNA from 1 species
AUGACUAGGAAGCGUGUUUUGCUUUUUUUUUCUGUUUUUUUCAUUAAUGGCAUAACUGUAAAUUAAUCAUCAUCUUCUUUUUAGGGUUACGCAAACCUUUUUACAGAGCCGCCAUGCUUUCUUUCUCUGAUUUCUUCCAUUAUUUUUGUGUUUUUCUUUCUGGGCAUGAAAUAAAUUUGAAGGUUUAACAUGUAUGAUCCGAUUUCAAGCUUUCAAACCUCAAAAAUGUGAAUAAUAUUAGUGACUCCGAUUUAAU